rnacentral:lncRNA from 1 species
AACUGUACAUGUAACAAGUGAGCACACAACUGUACAUGUAACAAGUGAGCACACAACUGUACGUGUAACAAGUAAGCAUACAACUGUACAUGUAACAAGUAAGCAUACAACUGUGCAUAUAAAUUAAGGUAUAGGCGCAUGUAAAUUAAGGCUAGGUACAUGUAAAUUAAGGCUAGGUACAUGUAAAUUUAGGUAUAAGUGCACGUACAUAUACAUCCACGUACCCCAUCUUUAUCUUUUUGUAACACCAAAUGAAUAACAAAACCAUGUCGGCAAAAGACAUAAAAAAAGAAAAAAAAAAAAAAUAUGACUAUAGAAGUGUGCCAUAUAAUGAUGUCGUUCCGAAUAAGAAAAGAGAAGGUGAUAAUACGAUGGCAGAUAUCAUUUACCCUAGUUUAAGAAUAACUUCUGAUAAUUUAUUUAAUAGUAUAGUAUUUAAGAAUCUAUCAGAAGAGCAAAUUAAAAUAGUACAAAUACCUUUGAAUGUAAAUUUAUGUAUUAUCGCCUGUCCAGGUUCAGGCAAAACAUCAACUUUAACAGCACGUAUAAUUAAAAGCAUUAUUGAAAAAAAAAAAUCUAUCAUAUGUAUUACUUUCACUAAUUAUGCUUCUCACGAUUUAAAAGAAAAAAUUAUAAAAAAAGUAAACUGUUUAAUAGAUUUAUGUAUGAGUAAUGAUAUAAGAUGCAAUUUAGUUGAUGACAGAAAAAAAAAAAAAAAAAAAAGUAAAUUGUGGAGAAAACACUAGCAACCUUUGUAUCCCAUCUACUACAAAUGACUCGGAUAAUAGUACUACAAAUACUAGUUAUAAUAACAAUAGAGGCUUUAUAAAAAAGUAUGAAAUGACUAAUAAAAUAAGUAAAAAUGUACUCAAGGUAUUAAACAGUACUUUGUUUAUUGGAACUAUACAUUCAUUUUGUAGAUACAUUCUUAUAAAAUAUAAAGGACAAUUUAGAAUAUUAACAGAUAGUAUAAAUAAUAAUGUCAUUAAGUUAGCUUUUAAUCAUUUUUACGCGCAGAUGCAGAAGGAGGGAAGUAAUACAAAUGUAAACAACGCAGGGGUAAACAACGCCAAACAUAGUAACAUAUUCGACUUGACUCAAUUUUUCAAUUGCAUAAAAAAAAAUUUUACAAAAAAAGAACAACAGGAAUUAGAAGACGAGGCUUUACAAGACGAAGAAGAUGAAGAAGGAAUUGAUGAAAAUGAAUCAGAAUAUGGAGAAGAAAAUGAAUUUUAUAAUUAUAUAUACAAUUAUAGUAAUAAUAGUUAUAAUAGGAAAGAUUCAGAUAAUAUAGAGAAAUUAAAUAUUCCAUGUAUAUUGAAUAAGAAAAAUAUAUAUUUUUUAAAAAAAAAAAUAAAAUUAAUAAAAUAUGUUGAAUUGUAUAAAAUAGAUAUCGAAAUUAAUGUAACUGAAAAAAACUUUUUUAAAGAAUAUCAAAAUAUACUAAAUAAAAGUAAAUAUGUUUAUUACGAUUUUGAUGAUAUAUUAAUAGAGGCAUAUAAAUUAAUGAGAGACAAUUUAAAUAUAAGAAAUAAAAUUUUAAAUGAAUGGCAUCAUGUAUUUUGUGACGAAUUUCAAGAUAUUAACACUACCCAAUUUAAUAUUUUAAAAUUUUUUGCUAACUGUGAUGAGAAAUUACCUUCGAGUGGUAACAUAACAUGUACUGGAACAGAUGUUACUUCUAAUAUAACAAAUGACAACACUUGUAAUAUCCAAAAAUCCCAUUCCCAAGAUAAUAAUACGAGUUACCAAAACAUAAACGAUAAAAAAUUAUUUGAACGAUAUAGUAGUAUCGAAUCUAAGUACGAGCAAGAUACUGGUAAUGAUAUUGGAUGUUAUAAUAUGAUAUCAUCAUUAGAUUUAAGUGACAAUACAAAUAAUGUUCUAAUAAAAAAUGCAGUUAAUAGUAGUAUUAGUAGUAGUAGUGGUAAUUGUGGUAAUAGUAGUAGUAGUAGUAGUAGUAGCCAUAAAUACGAUCGUAGCCUGACCGUUAUUGGAGAUGAUGAUCAAUCUAUUUAUGCUUUUCGUGGAGCUAAUAUUAAUAUAUUUUAUAAACUACUAAAAGAAUGCAAAUGUUUGUUAUUUAAGCUUAGUACAAAUUUUAGAAGCACAAAAGAAAUAGUUAGAGUGUCAAAAAAUUUGAUUUUACAUAAUUCUUCUUAUCGAAUAAAUAAAAAUUUAUAUACUAACAAUAUAGAAGGAAAUAAAAUAAAAUUUCAUGUUUUUAAAACGUACUCUGACCAAAUAGCAUAUAUACUAGCACAAAUAAUAUACUUAAAAAAAAUGUAUAAUUAUAAAUAUGGUGAUUUUGUUAUUUUAUCUAGAACUAAUAAAACAUUAAAUGAGACCAUAAAAUGUAUGAAUAAUUAUGAAACAAAAAAAAAAGCGUUGAAAUAUUAUUUAUCUAUGAAUAAUGUUGAACAAAAUACAAACGGUGAUAGUAAAUCAUGUAAUAAGACUAAUAAUACUACAUCUACUACAGAUGUAGAGAAAACCGAUUUAAAAACAGGUAUAUCCAUAGAUAGUUUUCAAAUUGCAAUAAAAGGAUUAAACAAAAAAAAAUCUUUUUUUGGUUCCAAGGAAAUAAUAGAAUUAAUAACAUUGUUAAGGUUUUUACUUAACGUAAAUGAUGAUAUAAUACUAAAAAAAAGUAGUCAAAAAGUGAAAAAAAAUGAUAAAAAUAUAAAAAUUAUUAUAAAAAAGUUGAUGAUGUUACAAGAAAAAAAAAUGAAAAUAAUGCAUGGAGAAGAUAUUAAAUAUGUAGAUAGGAAUAGUAUGGAUUGUACAAAAGAAAAAGACAAACCUUUAACUAAUAAUAAAUUGAAUCAGUCAUCAAUAGAUAAUCAUAAUAUGGUUUAUUUAGAUACUGUACCUCUAUUUGAUCAAAUAAAACAUGUUACCCAUUUGUAUAUUUUGUCGAAAAAAAAAAAAAUUGACAAUGAUCAAUUGCAACUUCUUAAUAUUUUUAAUGAAAACGAAUUAAAAAGUCUUAUUGAUUUUUUUUUUUGUAUUAACUAUUUUUUAAAAAUGCUUUCUGAUAAUAAUAAUGUCUAUAAUUUAGUAAUUGAAAUAUUAAAAAAAACGAAUAUUAUAAAAAGAAUAAUUGAUAGAGUUCAUAGGAAACAAAAAAAAGAAAUGCAGAAUGGUUUGUUUAUUGACGAAGAGGGUGUGCGGAAUUCCGAGAAAAACGAAGCCGAAAAUGGUUGUAAUAAUAUUCCGAAUGAGGUAACUAAUAGUAGUAAUGGUGGUACUGCCACUAAUGCUAAUAGUAAUAUUAAUAAUACCAACGAAAAUGAUAACACUAAUGUCGAUGCUGAAAAUACUUUUAACGAAGUUAAGAUCAAAAACGACUUGAGCAGCUUGUUCAAUUUAAAUGAUACUUAUAUGAAUUAUAACAACAUACAAAAUAUUUUUGUUUUUUUAGAAAUAGCUAAAGAAUAUAAACCCAAUUUAAUACAACAAACUUGUUCAAGCUGUUUAAUCAGUUUUUUAAAUGAGUUUAAAAAUAACGUACAUGAGAAUAUGUUAAUUGAAAAGGUAACUAUAUCAACCAUACAUAAAUCAAAGGGACUAGAAUGGAAAGUUGUUUUUAUUAUAAAUGUAAUAGAAAAAGAAAUACCUCAAGCUGUUGAACAUAAUCAAGAAAUUAUAGAAGAAAGAAAAAUAUUUUAUGUUGGUAUUACACGAGCAAAAUAUUUGUUAUAUUUGUUAUGCUAUUUGCAUAAUACUCAUACUUCUGAAAAAAAUACUGUAUCUAGGUUUAUUCACCAGAUGGGUAUAUAAAAAUAAGUAUUCGUAAUGGAAAUGUAGGUAUAACAGAGAAUAGACUAGCUAGACAUUCGUAACGAAAAAAAAAUUCCGCCUUUUUAAAAAAAAAAAAAAAAAAAAACACUUAUAUAUUUUUACACGUGUGUCUGUGCGUUGUUUUUCCAUUAUAACAAGUAUAUUUUAUAUGCAACUUUACAAGAAUAUGUUAAUUUAUUUUUUUUUGUUUUCCGAUAAGAUUUUAUUCACAUAUACAAGCGUACG